rnacentral:rRNA from 1 species
AGUGAACGCUGGCGGUAGGCCUAACACAUGCAAGUCGAACGGCAGCACAGUAAGAGCUUGCUCUUACGGGUGGCGAGUGGCGGACGGGUGAGGAAUACAUCGGAAUCUACUUUUUCGUGGGGGAUAACGUAGGGAAACUUACGCUAAUACCGCAUACGACCUACGGGUGAAAGCAGGGGAUCUUCGGACCUUGCGCGAUUGAAUGAGCCGAUGUCGGAUUAGCUAGUUGGCGGGGUAAAGGCCCACCAAGGCGACGAUCCGUAGCUGGUCUGAGAGGAUGACCAGCCACACUGGAACUGGGACACGGUCCAGACUCCUACGGGAGGCAGCAGUGGGGAAUAUUGGACAAUGGGCGCAAGCCUGAUCCAGCCAUACCGCGUGGGUGAAGAAGGCCUUCGGGUUGUAAAGCCCUUUUGUUGGGAAAGAAAAGCAGCAGGUUAAUACCCCGCUGUUCUGACGGUACCCAAAGAAUAAGCACCGGCUAACUUCGUG